AAAUGUUCGUCCUACUGAAGCCGGUAAAAUACCUUCAACAAUCGGAGGUAAAUCCCUCCAGGUGGUCCGACGUGUGGAUGUCUGACGUAGUCACCACUCCUCCUCGACGACGUCAUCACUUAGAUCGGAAUGUCAUUGGGUAAUACCUGAGUCAAUCAUAAAGGGGUGGGGAAAGGGGGAGGAUUAUACACAGACGGACGCUCCGCCCCUAAACUCCAUCUAUCCAGUAGGAUACGCUUUAUGGGCAUUGA